rnacentral:rRNA from 1 species
UACGAAGGGGGCUAGCGUUGCUCGGAAUUACUGGGCGUAAAGCGCACGUAGGCGGCUUUCUAAGUCGGGGGUGAAAUCCUGGAGCUCAACUCCAGAACUGCCUUUGAUACUGGAGAGCUCGAGUCCGGAAGAGGUGAGUGGAACUCCGAGUGUAGAGGUGAAAUUCGUAGAUAUUCGGAAGAACACCAGUGGCGAAGGCGGCUCACUGGUCCGGUACUGACGCUGAGGCUCGAAAGCGUGGGGAUCAAACAGG